rnacentral:rRNA from 1 species
UACGUAGGGGGCAAGCGUUGUCCGGAUUUAUUGGGCGUAAAGAGCGUGUAGGCGGCUUUACAGGUCCGUUGUGAAAACUCGAGGCUCAACCUCGAGACGCCGGUGGAAACCGUAAAGCUAGAGUCCGGAAGAGGAGAGUGGAAUUCCUGGUGUAGCGGUGAAAUGCGCAGAUAUCAGGAGGAACACCAGCGGCGAAGGCGGCGCUCUGGGCCGGAACUGACGCUGAGGAGCGAAAGCGUGGGGAGCAAACAGG